rnacentral:rRNA from 1 species
UACGUAGGGGGCAAGCGUUGUCCGGAAUUAUUGGGCGUAAAGAGCGCGUAGGCGGUCCGAUAAGUCGGCUGUGAAAGUCAGGGGCUCAACCCUUGAAAGCCGGCCGAUACUGUCGGACUAGAGUCCGGAAGAGGCAAGUGGAAUUCCUGGUGUAGCGGUGAAAUGCGCAGAUAUCAGGAGGAACACCGGUGGCGAAGGCGGUUCUCUGGGCAUUACCUGACGCUGAGGAGCGAAAGUGUGGGGAGCGAACAGG